rnacentral:rRNA from 1 species
CAAUAGCGUAUAUUAAAGUUGUUGCAGUUAAGAAGCUCGUAGUUGGAUUUCGGGGUGGCCUGGCUGGUCCGCCGCAAGGUGAGUACUGGUCAGCCGCCCUUCCUCUCGAAAGCCCCGACUGCUCUUUACUGCAGUGGUCGGGUAGUUCGGGACGUUUACUUUGAAAAAAUUAGAGUGUUCAAGGCAGGCUAUCGCCUGAAUACAUUAGCAUGGAAUAAUGGAAGAGGACCUCGGUCCUAUUUUGUUGGUUUCUAGGGCCGAAGUAAUGAUUAAGAGGGACAGUUGGGGGCAUUCGUAUUUAAUUGUCAGAGGUGAAAUUCUUGGAUUUAUGAAAGACGAACUAGUGCGAAAGCAUUUGCCAAGGAUGUUUUCAUUAA